GCCGCCGUAGCUUAGUUGGCUGGAGCGGCCGGCUGUUAACCGGCAGGUCGCAGGUUCGAAUCCUGCCGGCGGCG
rfam:Aciduliprofundum boonei T469, complete genome.